rnacentral:tRNA from 3 species
GCCGGGGUGGUGAAAUUGGUAGACACGCUAGCCUUAGGAGCUAGUGCCCUUGCGGUGUGGAGGUUCGAGUCCUCUCCCCGGCACCA